GACAGAGGGUGCAAACGUUGCUCGGAAUUACUGGGCGUAAAGCGCGUGUAGGCGGUUCCGCAAGUCAGGUGUGAAAGCCCAGGGCUCAACCCUGGAAGUGCACUUGAUACUACGGAGCUUGAGUACUGAAGAGGAGAGCGGAAUUCCCGGUGUAGAGGUGAAAUUCGUAGAUAUCGGGAGGAACACCAGUGGCGAAGGCGGCUCUCUGGGCAGAUACUGACGCUGAGACGCGAAAGCAUGGGGAGCAAACAGGAUUAGAUACCCUGGUAGUCCAUGCUGUAAACGAUGAGAACUGGGUGUUGUGGGUAUUGACCCCCGCGGUGCCGAAGCCAACGCGUUAAGUUCUCCGCCUGGGAAGUACGGCCGCAAGGCUAAA
rnacentral:rRNA from 1 species